GAGAAGGGCUUCGGCUCUGAGUAAAGUGGCGCACGGGUGAGUAACACGUGAAUGAUCUACCUCCGAGUGGGGAAUAACCUAGAGAAAUCUG
rnacentral:rRNA from 1 species